ACCCACCCCACUUCACUCCCAAGAGACAGAUCACCCUCUUUGCCUUUCCCUCACAUGAGACAUAGGAACUGGGAAGUCUCCAAGUAGAAAAUUCCCAUUGGCAUUUAGAUGCAAAUCUCCCACGUCCCAUGCUCAUGUUCCCCUCCUCUUGAAGCCAAAGCAUCGUCACAGCUGAAGACAUCUCCUGUGCACCUCUUCCUAAUCUGAGUCCGUCUCAUCUAGUACCAGACACAAAAGGCAGGCAUAUGGCUUGGAGCACGACAUGACCAAUAUUCAUGCUCACUUUAGAAGCCACUUCGAUGAUGUUAGAAAGAGAGAAGAAAAUAAUCUGAAGGAAUAUGUACUAUACUUCCAUAAAACAAAUGUUAUUACCAGCAAUCUUAGGGAAGAGAAAUCAUGUUUGUGGCUGAAUUUUCACACUUACAAAACACUUAAGAAGCAGAAUUUCAAGCUUACAUAUAGAAUCAAUAUGUAAAUGAUAUAUCACAAAUGCAUCAACACAUGCAAAUUCACUUUGCAUCCAUUCAAAUGAAAUUGGUGAUGACUAAGUGUUUUACCACAAGUUUAACAUAAAGGACAGCCCGGUGCACGAAGCUCCCGCCAUGCGGGGUCCAGGAAAGGAUGUAUUGCACGCAAUAAAGGAAAUUUCACCUAAGCACAUGCGUCACAACUCUUUAAAAUUAAAAUGGUGAGCUUAUAUAUUUGUUAGAGAUGGUUCAUGCUGCUGUUCGGGUGAAGAAGGGGUCGGAGUGGGUGUUGCGAGGUGGAGUUUAGUGUCCGAGGAAGAAUGAAUGGGAGAGCACGAGGUAAUGAGGAGACGGAAGGACUUGACGAAUGAGCUUUCUUGUACUGGCAGUGCACACUCGAGGGCCUCUUUUAUUUGUCUAAGUUUCUACACGCAUUAGGAUGUUGGGUCCUCCCGUCGGAGUCGAGUCAUGUGAUUGAUAGUCGGUUUAAGUUCCUUUCACUAGUUGGUUGCACUUUCUGCUCUCAUGAAGAAUUUAUUUACUAUUAUGAUGUCAAACCAAAUUUUUUUUUUUUGGUUUCAUGUUGGACUAGUUCGUAAUGCAUAAUCUUUGAAGUUGGUUGUUUAA